GGUGCCUUCGGGAACUGUGAGACAGGUGCUGCAUGGCUGUCGUCAGCUCGUGUUGUGAAAUGUUGGGUUAAGUCCCGCAACGAGCGCAACCCUUAUCCUUUGUUGCCAGCGGUCCGGCCGGGAACUCAAAGGAGACUGCCAGUGAUAAACUGGAGGAAGGUGGGGAUGACGUCAAGUCAUCAUGGCCCUUACGACCAGGGCUACACACGUGCUACAAUGGCGCAUACAAAGAGAAGCGACCUCGCGAGAGCAAGCGGACCUCAUAAAGUGCGUCGUAGUCCGGAUUGGAGUCUGCAACUCGACUCCAUGAAGUCGGAAUCGCUAGUAAUCGUGGAUCAGAAUGCCACGGUGAAUACGUUCCCGGGCCUUGUACACACCGCCCGUCACACCAUGGGAGUGGGUUGCAAAAGAAGUAGGUAGCUUAACCUUCGGGAGGGCGCUUACCACUUUGUGAUUCAUGACUGGGGUGAAGUCGUAACAAGGUAACCGUAGGGGAACCUGCGGCUGGAUCACCUC
rnacentral:rRNA from 1 species